UGCCAAGCCUGAGAAUGUUGAGUACCCGAGGCCAAGCUCAACAAGGCCAGGGAACUUUCCGGUUGGGGAUCCUAUGGAGAGUCUGACUCUGGAACCGGUGCUACAGACAGACGUUGUUAAAGCUGGUCAAUCCAAGUUUCUGCAGCCUCUGUGGAGGGGAACAUGCCGGCUGACAGCCUCUACUAACAGGUUGGGGCUCCCUUCUGCUGCUCCUGCCCUCCCAGCCACCAGCUCACUGGAGCAAGACCAGGAUUAAGUGGACCUACAAGGAUCUGCACAUUUGGUCCCAGUACCCUCCCAGUUCACCCCAUAUCCCACCCACGUGGACUCCUCAUCCUCGUUUUUGUACUGCCAACCUUUGCCUGGGAAAGGUUUCUUUCUGACCCUGCUUGCCUGGAAAAGCCCAAUCAUCAUUCAAGAACCAGCUCAAAGUUCACCUCCUCUGUGAAGGCUCCCCUGAAAUAGGACUUACUCAUCCCCACAUGCUGAUUGAAUACUGUCAGUGCCCUUCAGCCAAAGACCACCAAGAACACACCAACAAUGAG